UCAGGAUGAACGCUGGCGGCGUGCCUAAUACAUGCAAGUCGAGCGAAUGAAGAGGAGCUUGCUCCUCUGAUUUAGCGGCGGACGGGUGAGUAACACGUGGGUAAUCUGCCUGUAAGACGGGGAUAACUCCGGGAAACCGGGGCUAAUACCGGAUAAUAAGAGAAGAAGCAUUUCUUCUUUUUGAAAGUCGGUUUCGGCUGACACUUACAGAUGAGCCCGCGGCGCAUUAGCUAGUUGGUGAGGUAACGGCUCACCAAGGCGACGAUGCGUAGCCGACCUGAGAGGGUGAUCGGCCACACUGGGACUGAGACACGGCCCAGACUCCUACGGGAGGCAGCAGUAGGGAAUCUUCGGCAAUGGGCGAAAGCCUGACCGAGCAACGCCGCGUGAGCGAUGAAGGCCUUCGGGUCGUAAAGCUCUGUUGUUAGAGAAGAACAAGUACGAGAGUAACUGCU
rnacentral:rRNA from 1 species